rnacentral:rRNA from 1 species
GAUGUUGGGUUAAGUCCCGCAACGAGCGCAACCCUUGUCUUUAGUUGCCAUCAUUCAGUUGGGCACUCUAAAGAGACUGCCGGUGUCAAACCGGAGGAAGGUGGGGAUGACGUCAAGUCCUCAUGGCCUUUAUGACCAGGGCUACACACGUACUACAAUGGCCGGUACAAAGGGCAGCCACUUAGCGAUAAGGAGCCAAUCCCGUAAAGCCGGUCUCAGUCCGGAUUGGAGUCUGCAACUCGACUCCAUGAAGUUGGAAUCGCUAGUAAUCGCAGAUCAGCACGCUGCGGUGAAUACGUUCCCGGGCCUU